ACGAACGCUGGCGGCGUGCUUAACCCAUGCAAGUCGAACGGAAAGGCCCUGCUUUUGCGGGGUGCUCGAGUGGCGAACGGGUGAGUAACACGUGAGUAACCUGCCCUUGACUUUGGGAUAACUUCAGGAAACUGGGGCUAAUACCGGAUAGGAGCUCCUGCUGCAUGGUGGGGGUUGGAAAGUUUCGGCGGUUGGGGAUGGACUCGCGGCUUAUCAGCUUGUUGGUGGGGUAGUGGCUUACCAAGGCUUUGACGGGUAGCCGGCCUGAGAGGGUGACCGGCCACAUUGGGACUGAGAUACGGCCCAGACUCCUACGGGAGGCAGCAGUGGGGAAUAUUGCACAAUGGGCGGAAGCCUGAUGCAGCAACGCCGCGUGCGGGAUGACGGCCUUCGGGUUGUAAACCGCUUUCGCCUGUGACGAAGCGUGAGUGACGGUAAUGGGUAAAGAAGCACCGGCUAACUACGUG
rnacentral:rRNA from 1 species